rnacentral:rRNA from 1 species
UACACAUGCAAGUCGAACGGCAGCACGGGAGCAAUCCUGGUGGCGAGUGGCGAACGGGUGAGUAAUAUAUCGGAACGUGCCCAGUCGUGGGGGAUAACGCAGCGAAAGCUGUGCUAAUACCGCAUACGAUCUCUGGAUGAAAGCGGGGGACCGCAAGGCCUCGCGCGAUUGGAGCGGCCGAUAUCAGAUUAGCUAGUUGGUGGGGCAAAAGCCCACCAAGGCGACGAUCUGUAGCUGGUCUGAGAGGACGACCAGCCACACUGGAACUGAGACACGGUCCAGACUCCUACGGGAGGCAGCAGUGGGGAAUUUUGGACAAUGGGCGCAAGCCUGAUCCAGCAAUGCCGCGUGCAGGAUGAAGGCCUUCGGGUUGUAAACUGCUUUUGUACGGAACGAAACGGCUCCUUUUAAUACAAGGGGCUAAUGACGGUACCGUAAGAAUAAGCACCGGCUAACUACGUGCCAGCAGCCGCGGUAAUACGUAGGGUGCGAGCGUUAAUCGGAAUUACUGGGCGUAAAGCGUGCGCAGGCGGUUAUAUAAGACAGAUGUGAAAUCCCCGGGCUCAACCUGGGACCUGCAUUUGUGACUGUAUAGCUAGAGUACGGUAGAGGGGGAUGGAAUUCCGCGUGUACAAUGAAAUGCGUAGAUAUGCNGANGAACACCGAUGGCGAAGGCAAUCCCCUGGACCUGUACUUGACGCUCAUGCACGAAAGCGUGGGGAGGCAAACAGGAUUAGAUCCCUGGUAGUCCACGCCCUAAACGAUGUCAACUGGUUGGUGGGUCUUUACUUGCUUAAUAACCAAACUUACGCCUGAAGUUGACCGCCUUGGGGAGUCCGGCCCAAGGNUUAAACUUAAAAGGAAUUGACGGGGACCC